rnacentral:rRNA from 1 species
GAUGAACGCUGGCGGCGUGCCUAAUACAUGCAAGUAGAACGCUGAAGGUGGAGCUUGCUCUUCUGGAUGAGUUGCGAACGGGUGAGUAACGCGUAGGUAACCUGCCUGGUAGCGGGGGAUAACUAUUGGAAACGAUAGCUAAUACCGCAUGACAACAGUUAUUGCAUGAUAACUGUUUAAAAGGGGCAACUGCUCCACUACCAGAUGGACCUGCGUUGUAUUAGCUAGUUGGUGAGGUAACGGCUCACCAAGGCGACGAUACAUAGCCGACCUGAGAGGGUGAUCGGCCACACUGGGACUGAGACACGGCCCAGACUCCUACGGGAGGCAGCAGUAGGGAAUCUUCGGCAAUGGACGGAAGUCUGACCGAGCAACGCCGCGUGAGGGAAGAAGGUUUUCGGAUCGUAAAGCUCUGUUGUAAGAGAAGAACGAGUGUGAGGGUGGAAAGUUCACACUGUGACGGUAUCUUACCAGAAAGGGACGGCUAACUACGUG